UGGUGACACUCAGGGUGUGACAGUGACCCCUGGUGACCCUCAGGGUGUCACAGUGACCCCCACCCGGUGCCAGGCGUUGCUCAGCACCCCUCGAAGGUUCCAGAUUCCCCCCACGCUGUCCCCCAGCAGGUGACAGUGACACUCAGGGUGUGACAGUGACCCCCAGCAGGUGACAGUGACCCCUGGUGUCACUCAGGGUGUGACAGUGACACUCAGGGUGUGACAGUGACCCCCACCCUGUGCCAUGCAUUACUGAGCACCCCUCGAAGGUUCCAGAUGCCCCCCACGCUGUCCCUCAGUGGGUGACAGUGACCCCCAGCAGGUGACAGUGACACUCAGGGUGUGACAGUGACCCCUGGUGACACUCAGGGUGUGACAGUGACACUCAGGGUGUGACAGUGACCCCCACCCUGUGCCAUGCAUUACUGAGCACCCCUCGAAGGUUCCAGAUGCCCCCCACGCUGUCCCCAGUGACACUCAGGGGGUGACAGUGACCCCUGGUGUCCCUCAGCGGGUGACAGUGACCCCCACCCUGUGCCAGGCAUUACUGAGCACCCCUCGAAGGUUCCAGAUGCCCCCCACGCUGUCCCCCAGUGGGUGACAGUGACCCCUGGUGACCCUCAGGGUGUGACAGUGACCCCCAAUGUCCCUCAGGGUGUGACAGUGACCCCCACCCUGUGCCAGGCGUUGCUCAGCACCCCUCGAAGGUUCCAGAUUCCCCCCACGCUGUCCCCAGUGUCCCCAGUGACACUCAGGGUGUGACAGUGACCCCCAGCAGGUGACAGUGUCACUCAGGGUGUCACAGUGACCCCCACCCGAUGCCAGGCGUUUCUCAGCACCCCUCGAAGGUUCCAGAUUCCCCCCACGCUGUCGGGCUGGACGUUGUAGCUGCUGUCCACGGCCUUGCAGACGAUUUCCAGCC